UGUGAAGAGCUGACUCAUUGGAAAAGACCCUGAUGCUGGGAGGGAUUGGGGGCAGGAGGAAAAGGGGACAACAGAGGAUGAGAUGGCUGGAUGGCAUCACCAACUCGAUGCACGUGAGUUUGGGUGAACUCCAGGAGUUGGUGAUGGACAGGGAUGCCUGGCAUGUUGUGAUUCAUGGGCUUGCAAAGAGUUGGACAUGAUCACCUUCUAGAAAGAAGAUACUGAGUUAAUGACAUGGUGACGCUUGAAGUUAGAAACCCCAGAGUCCAAAUUUAUUUUCAUCAUGUUUUGAAGGACAUAGAAAAGUGCCAGAGAAGCGUGAGUGGCAGCUGCCUGAAGGGUGAAGAAAUUGAAGAGGGAAGAAGUAUUGCCUUGUUUCUCCAGGCACUGACUUUCACAGUGAUAGCCACUGGUAUUCUCCUAAUAAUCUGUACUUCCUUGGUUCCUGAGACAAUCCUGAACAAGGACUAUGAUAAAUGGCUGAGUUCCCUCUUCCUGAGUCUGAAAUUAAUGACUGGAAACAUUAUCAACAAGUGAAAAGGCUUACUGCCUCCUGAAAUACAUUUUUGUAUCC
ensembl:lncRNA